AUGCGUGUGAGAGCGCUCCCUGCGGUCCCUCCCAAUGCAGCAGAUGGUGUUCCUGUUUCUCUCAUCUCCUGCUCUUCUCUGCUUUUCAAUCUCAGCAGCUCAGCCACCACUGUGACUACAACAGAUGCAUCAUCUGGCUGGAGACUUCAUAGACAGACUGAAUCAGACAAUGGCAUCCAGGACUGACAGCUUUGAAACCCUCUGGUGGCAGAUGUACUCCCUUGCCAGGGUCGUCCUCCAAAACAGAAUAUCCCUGAUCUAAUAACUGCUGAGCAUGGGAUGCAGGGAUUUUCCUGGUAUUGGGGGAAGAAUGCUGCCAUAUAUAAAUGAGUCAAACAUUGUUGAAACUCAUGUUAAUGCCCCAAGAAACACUGAAAAGACCUACUUUCAAGAUUCCAGUCCUUAAAAAACUUAGUUGGGGCCGGAUGUUGGUGACACAAUCCUUUAAUACCAGCGCUCGGGAGGCAGAGGCUGGUGGAUCUCUGUGAGUUCAAGGCCAGCCUGGUCUACAGAAUGAAUUCCAGGACAGCCUCCAAAACAAUACAGAGAAACCCUGUCUCAAAAAACCAAAAGUAAAAGAAAAACAAAAAACUUAGUUGGUUCAAGAACCCCUUGUUCUCACCCUUUAUCAGUCCCCCGAUAAUGCUGUUUUAUUUUUAUGCUUGCCCCCUGUCUUAUUCAGUUCCUCUGGUAACAGAUCACCACCAUUGCUAAAAUUGCCACCAGUCACGUCAUAGUUCACUACCAGACCUUGAACCCAUCAAACACAGAUGAAAGAUUCCUCAGGGCUUAUGAUUACACCUCCUCAAUAUAAACUAAAAGAAGAUGAAAUGUUGGGACAGCCUACUAGUCAGAAGUAGCCAUCCACAGUGGCCUGGCAGUUCUCUCUGAACUCUGCAACAUUAAGGACUCACUCCCUGCAGGGGCUUCCUGCUCUCUACCUAACGUUAUCUAGAGGAUGUCUUUAGGCUUCGAUGCCUGACUCAUUAGUGUGACCCUUGGCACAGUUCCCUGCAUCAGUUUCUGUCCCAAUGCUUUAUAUUUCCUCACUCUGGAAUAAAGAUGAAUGGUUUCACUAAAGGCA
rnacentral:lncRNA from 1 species